rnacentral:lncRNA from 1 species
GCCUCACUCGUGUCUCCGGGGCUGUUUGGGGCUUCAUAUAGAAAUGGAAAGAUUCCUUUGCUCUUUCUUCAGCCAAGGGAAAAGGAAAAUGAAGGCGUAGAAUGAAGUCUGGGGCUGGUAAAGAAUCGCUGGCAUUAGUUCUCUAUCACGUGUGAGCCUGGCUGCCUGCUUCUUGAGGCAGUGGAUCCAGGAAGAGACUGUGUCAGAGCCUGUUUCCACAACUGCAUUUGGAGAUCGGUCCUAUUGAUUAAGGGGGAAAAGGGGUGGGGAUGGAAGUGUGAGGUGAGGGGAGGACCAGCUGACUACUGGCUCACUGAAGCACAGACAUUUUCAUCCGGAAAGAUGUCAAACAACCGAGGCACAGCCCCAGAGGAAGUAGAAAGGUGGAAAAAAAGACAGAGAGAGAGAGAGAGAGAGAGAGAGAUUCUGGAAGAAAUCAAAGCAUUUCUUCAGGGAGGCUUGGGGCUUUUUCUUUUCUCUUUAUUAUUAUUAUUUUUUGCCUCCCAUCAUCUGACCUGCGAGGGUUAGAAUGACAGCGUCAUGCAAAUGCUGCAGUCCAGCAGGUCUGGGAGAGGGUGGAUGCUAGACUGUGAGUUAAUGUUAAUGAUGAGUGCAGUGAAAAUACCAGUCGCUGCCACCCCCUGCACACAGAAGCGCUCUGAGUCAGCAUCAGAUGCUUUGCCUCGCCUCUUGCUGUGUGUCUGUAUUCCUGUGUGCGUGCGCGUGCUCGCUCGGGCAUCCGUGUCUAGCCGAGGGGAGGGGGUGGCGUGUGAGUGCGUGGAGGGUAAAAGCCAGUCAGUCAGUGAGAAGCAAAGAUCAACCACUUCUGAAGAACCAGAUUCUACUUCUUUGGCCAGGACUUUUAUGUUAUGGCUGGUCCGAUUAUUUCACCCUGCGUUCUAUGCUACUAAACCUUGGAUCAUUCCUAAAGUACAAUAUCUGUUCUUGAACUACAAACAAGGCUAAAAGAUCGGAGGAAAUUCUGAGACUGUACAGGAUUGGGAUUGUAUAUUAUCAAAAGUACUGAGCUUUAUAAUGCAAUUAUUCAAGAAAUAGGAUCUUUUUUUUUCCUUAUGAUGUUGCCAGCAUUUUAAGUUACAUGUUUAUUAAGUGCCAUUGCUCAAAUAGCCACAGAGUAUUGCAUGGAAAUAUUUGCUGUCUGAAUAGUUUGGAGAUUCAAAGAGAAAAAUCACGCUUCAGAGGUAUUAAAUUGUGAACAUGCAGAAGAUUUUUAUUUUAUUCUUAACGCAACGGUAUAUAUUUAAAUCAGAUUUAAAGUGUUAUAUGUCCUGGGGCCCACCUUGCCAGUUGUGC